rnacentral:lncRNA from 1 species
UCCGUCUCACCCCCACGCCUUGGGGUAUGCCUGCUGUCUCAUGGAUGGGCAAACGUGGGAGUUGAGCCAGACCACUAGAUUCUACCUCCAUCAUGGGCUGUAUCCACUCUGACCAAAGACCUGCUCAGGGUAUCAUCUUAUAGCAAUAAAAAUCUCACCCUGCGAUGUCGCCUCUCGUCCUUCCGAGUCUCCCGUCUAGUGCCCGAUCCACCUCCACCUGA